UCUCUCAUCUUUCAACCGAUUUGGGCGAUACAAAAGGCAAAGUUGUGAGAUUUUUCGAGGGCAACGCGUUGGUGAGCUCGGAUAGUGGUUUGGGGUUCCCGUUUGAGGUCCCAGUACCAGUUACCAGCGGUGAUUAGUUCCAGCCUCCUUUUGCAGUUGUGAUUCGGAGACGAGGGCGAGCACUUGGCGUUUUGGGGUUUGUUCUGUCUCCUUCUUUUGAUUUAGCUAGUCUUGUUGCCUUUGAGACACGCUCUGUUGUGGUCCACUUUUGGGACUUGUACUCUUUAUUAGAUAGCUCUGUACUAGUGACUUCCAGGUUCUGGGAGGGAUUUCUGUAUAUAUUUAUUUUGGGUUG